CCUCUUAAUUUUCCCAGCAUUCUUUUUAACUUUUGUUUGUGUUGUGCAUCUGAUGGCAGGGCCUGCUGUUGGACUCCCUGGGAAGUUCUUUUCAAACUCACAAAGAAGCAUCCACCCCACCGAGCACGGGGGACUACAUGAAGCUUCUGAAACAUUUCAGAAAAGCUAAUAUGAGCGGGAAUGAAUGUUUUAAUUUGGGCCAUGAGCAUAAUCUACUCAGUUGGAUAUGUGGCAGGGAUAAGACAAAGCCAAGGUUGUACGAUCCAAUGAAAGAGUGGAGAACGGGGAGACACUGGAAGUCUUGCCAGGGAAAUUACUGUGGUAGAUCUGCAAGCUGAUCUCCAGACUUGGGCUGUUCAGAUGAACGUUGAUAAACUUCAGAGACACGUCUCCACUUUAUAGCUUUAUCUGAAACACCCCAAAUGCUGGCACUUCUCCCAUCCUGCUCUCUAGUUUUUCCUAAUGAGAGACUGUAAGAUUCAUGCUCUUCAUCACCACUGCAAACUUCUGGUGUUCAGUUGUGCAAUCGUUACAGAAAGCACAUGCCGCAUCGUUCUGUGCCCGUUAAAGUGAGAGACAAAUGACUUGUUUGCUUGAGCGUGUCUGUCUGUCCCUCCUAAGCUCCUGCCUCCAGUAAACCAGUGGAUGCCCCAAACCUACACCAAAC
rnacentral:lncRNA from 1 species